AUUGUUCAGUGCUUUAUAGGUAUGGGUUAGCACUUUGAAUUGAAUCAUAUAGGAUACAGGAAGCCAAUGUAAGGACUGACAGGGAGGUGAGGUGUGAGAGGACCGUCUAGAGAGGAUAAUCAGUCUGGUGGCAGCAUUCAUUACACACUGUAGCGGGGCAAUACGGCUUUUAGGAGACCAAUUAGGAGAUGGUUACAAUAAUCCAUGCGGAAAAUUAGUAGAGCAUGGACAAGCUCCUUGGUAACAUCUUGCGUAAGAAAGGGGCGGUUGCUGUCUAUGUUUUUAAGAUGGAAUCUACAGGAUUUGGCAACAUACUGGAUGUGAGGCUCAAAGGUGAGGCCAGAAUCAAGUAUGACGCCAAGACAGCGCACUUGCAAGGAUGGACUUAUGUGGGUACCACUAACUUGAAGGAAGAGCGAAAGAGGAGGAUCAGUAUUAGGAGGAGGAAAGACAAAGAGCUUAGUUUUAGAGAGAUUGAGUUUCAGAAAACGUGAGGAAAUCCAGUCAGAAAUGGAAGAAAAGCAGUGACAUGCUGCAGGACGGCAGGGGAGAGGUCUGGGGAGGAGAUAUAUAUCGGGGUGUCAUCAGCGUACAGUUGGUAGUGGAAUCCAAAUAAGGUAAUAAGUUUGCCAAGAGAGACAGUGUAAAGAGAAAGUAGAAGGGGACCAAGGACAGAGCCUUGGGGGGACUCCAACCGAGACAGGACAAGGAGGUAUCAUUAGAAAAGGAGACACUGAAUGAGCAUUGGGAGAGAUAAGAGGAAAACCACAAGAGGACAGAGUCACAGAGACAGAGUGAUUGAAGAGUUUAAAGAAGGAGAGCAUGAUCAACGGUGUCAAAGGCAGCAGAGAGGUCAAGAAGAAUUAGUAUGGAGUAAUGGUCUUUGGAUAAAGCUGUGAUUAGGUCAUUAGUACCUUUGAUAAGAGCAGUCUCAGUAGAGUGGAGAGGGUGAAAGCCAGGUUGAAGAGGGUCAAGGAGAGAGUUGGCAUUGAGGAAGUGAGACAUACGGGUAAAGACAAGUCUUUCCAGAAGCUUUGAGGAAAAAAGGAGCAGGUAUAUGGGACAAUAGUUAGAGGACGAGGACGAGUCAAGAGAUGUUUUUUUCAGGAUAGGUACUACAGUGGCAUGUUUAAAGGACCAUUAUAGUGCCAGGAAAACAUACUCGUUUUCCUGGCACUAUAGUGCCCUGAGGGUGCCCCCACCCUCAGGGUCCCCCUCCCGCCGGGCUCUGGGGAAAGGAAGGGGUUAAAAUCUUACCUUUCUCCAGCGCUGGGCUGGGAGCUCUCCUCCUUCAUAGCGACGUCAUCGGCUGAAUGCGCAUGCGCGGCAGGAGCCGCGCACGCAUUCAGCCAGUUCAUAGGAAAGCAUUUACAAUGCUUUCCUGUGGACGCUGGCGUCUUCUCACUGUGAUUUUCAAUGAGACAGCCACUAGAGGCUGGAUUAACCCUAUUAUAAACAUAGCAGUUUCUCUGAAACUGCUAUGUUUAUAAAAAAAAAAAAGGGUUAACUCUAGCUGGACCAGGCACCCAGACCACUUCAUUAAGCUGAAGUGGUCUGGGUGCCUAUAGUGGUCCUUUAAGGUCAGCAGGGACAAUGCCAGAAGAAAGAGAGCAGUUGAAGUUGUGUAUUAAGGAAGGCAGAACUGAUAUGCUUUUCUAAAGAAGUAAGUUUUCAAAGAUUUUUUCAAGGAGUGGAGACUGGGUGAGAUUCUAACAGAGAGGGGAAGGGCGUUCCAUAGGAACGGUGCAGCUCUAAAGAAGACUUUAAGGUGAGCAUCAGAGGUAGGAGUACGUACAGAGGUUAGAUGUAGGUCUCCGGCAGAGCGUAGGGGCCUAGAUGGGACAUAUUUGUGUAUUAGUGAGGAUAAGUAGGUUGGAGUAGCAUUGUGUAGAGAUUUGUAAGCAAGUGUCAGGAUCUUAAAUUGAGCCCUAUAUGUUACGGGAAGCCAAUGUAGGGACUGACAAAGGGGGACGGCGUGGGGGGACAGGAAGAUGAGCCUCACCGCCGCAUUCAUUAUAGACUGUAACGGUGCAAGUUGGAAACAUGUAAGACCACUGAGAAGCGACUUACAGUAGUCAAGGCGAGAGAGAGGAGCAGCAGCAUGGAUAAGCACCUUUGCCGUAUCAGACAUUAAAUAGGAUGCGCGCAAUGUUUUUCAGAUGGAAGCGGCAGCAUUUGGCGAUUAAUUGGACAUGAGAAGUGAAGGAGAAGUCGGAGUCAAAGAGAACACCUAGGCAGCGAGCCUUAGUGGUAGAACGGAUGGAAGCGCCAAUGAGGCCUAUUCCUUGGUCACAGGGCAUAAGAUCAGGAUUAAUCAUUUGAACCGUGGAAUGCAGCGUAGGUCCACAGUGAAUCGCUAACAGAACUAUCUAAUUGGAGCAGAGAUCAUCAGGAUUAUUACUGGUACCCUAUGCAAAUCUAGCAGGUCCAAAAUAAUUUCAUACAUUGUAUGUGAUAUUUAGCACUUCCCAAAAAAACACGAUCACAGAUAUGUGUUUAUGGUUUAAUCUAAUCAGUUAUCGCUUUUUUCUGUGUGCAAAUUGCUUUAUUUGGAUGAAGUAAUGUAAUUUUGUUUGUCAUUUUUAAUGUCGUUUUGCAAGCAUGAAAGCUAAUGAUGAAUUACAAUUAUCACCAAACUGAUCACAAAUUACCCUUUUAAAGAGAAACUGUUAUUAAACAUGGAAUAAUGCAUUGUUCUAACUAGAUCUUUUAUUUGUUAGAG